CCAGAACUAUGUCUGGGAGUGGCACACUGCUCAGUAACACGUAGCUAACCUACCCUUAGGACGUGGAUACCCCCGAGAAAUUGGGGUUAAUCCGCGAUAGAUGUAAUGUCCUGGAAUGGUAUUACGUCUAAAGGUAUUUCAUACAUGUUUGAAAUAUGCCUAAGGAUGGGGCUGCGGCCGAUCAGGCUGUUGGUGAGGUAAUGGCUCACCAAACCUUUGACCGGUACGGGCCAUGAGAGUGGUAGCCCGGAGAUGGACACUGAGACAAGGGUCCAGGCCCUAAGGGGCGCAGCAACCGCGAAACCUCCACAAUGCACUCACGUGCGAUGGGGCUAUCUCGAGUGCCACCUGAUGAAGGUGGCUUUUCCUUGGUCUUCAAAGCCUUGGGAAUAAGAGGGGGGCAAGACUGGUGUCAGCCGCCGCGGUAACACCAGCCCCUCGAGUGGUGGGGAUGAUUAUUUGGCCUAAAGCGUCCGUAGCCGGCCGUGAAAGUCCUCCGUUAAAUCCAGCGUCUCAAGCGUUGGACCGCGGGAGAUACUACAUGGCUAGAGAGUGGGAGAGGUCAGCGGUAUUCUGGGGGUAGGGGCGAAAUCCUUUGAUCCCCGGAGGACCACCAGUGGCGAAGGCUGCUGACUAGAACACGUCUGACGGUCAGGGACGAAAGCUGGGGUAGCGAACCGGAUUAGAUACCCGGGUAGUCCCAGCCGUAAACGAUGCAUGCUAGGUGUUGGGUUGGCCACGAGCCACCCCAGUGCCGCAGGGAAGCCGUUAAGCAUGCCGCCUGGGAAGUACGAUCGCAAGAUUGAAACUUAAAGGAAUUGGCGGGGGAGCACCACCAGGCGUGAAGCCUGCGGUUUAAUUGGAGUCAACGCCGGA
rnacentral:rRNA from 1 species